GCAUUUUUAUUAUAUCCUUUUAAUAAACUCAUUAUGUAAAUUUAAUAUAUAAAUUAUAAUAUUUACAUAUUCAAUUUAUAUGAAAAGAAUAGAAAGAAGAGAAAGAAAAAAUUUUAGAAAGAGUAUAUUAUUUAAAUUCUCAUUAUACUCUUGAUAAAAUUUCACCCGUUGGAUUGACUGUCGAAUUGAUUCGAAAGAAAUAGCUCUUCGCUCCAUAGCAUUUUCGUCUUACCAGUUUCCCAACAACACCUAAUGUAAACCAUGGGCUGGGCAGUGGGCACCCUCUCUCUACAUUCCAGAUUUCAGCGUCAACCAUCAUCUGUGAUUGUGCUUCAGUCUCUCCACCGCCUCAAUCAUUCGUAAGCAUAUAUAUCUAGGAGAAGAAACAACAGCAGAAAAUGUGACAAAAUUCUGUAUUAGAUUAAACUAACUAGGAACCAAAUCUCUCCAUUACCCAUUUGUUUGGUUUCUUUCUUCUCCUUCCUAUCAAUACAGUACCUCUGCCAUUACUUGCAGUUUGAGCCAGAGUUCCCAUUUUUAGCACGCCCAAAAACCUCAGGUACGUCAGGAAUUAUGAUAAAAAUGGACCCUUCAACUUCAGAACUGAUCCCUGCUGAACAAGAAGAAUUACAAUUAGAAGAGGAUGACAGUACCAUCUAUGACGAGUUAAAGAAACGAAUGUGGAAGGAUCGCUUACGCCUCCAAGAGCUACAAGAAAAACGAGGCAAGAUGAUGAUGAACAACAAUGGCAGCAAACCCAACAACAAGGAAGAAGCACAAGGAGAAACGACGUCGUCUUCUUCCUCCCCCGUAAAACAGGAAGCGUCCAGGCGGAAGAAGAUG
rnacentral:lncRNA from 1 species